rnacentral:misc_RNA from 1 species
CUAAAUUUGAACUAUUUUCAAAAUCAAUUUUUUUGAAAUACAUAAGCAAUUAGAAAAGAUCAUCAAAGAAACUUUUAGGCUCCAUUAAUGUUUGUUAAGUAUAACAUUAGUUCUUUACUAUCUACAUGUAGUUAUUUUAGUUUGAAAUUAAUUAAUGCUAAUAAUAUCUAAGAAUAAUAGAUUUAAUGUUUUAUUUGAUAUAUUUAUGCUCAUUAUUUAGUUGUAUAUUUUAGUUUUACUUAUAUUUUUAAAUAUCUAUUCACUUAGUGAACUUUGCAAAAUUUUUCAAAAAAACUUGCAUAGCAUAUGCCGUUACCAUUACGUUACAGAGCCGUAACAGACCUGUUUCCGUUACUCGCGACUGUGACGGCAAUUUAAAUCUAUGAUAUUGUAGUUUAAAAUGGAAAGUUAUUAGGAAAAACAAAUAAAAGGGACGCAAAAUAUACCUGUUAGUUGAAUUCCUUUUUUAGCACGAUAAGACUUAUAAAAGUUGUUUUCAUUUAUGUUCAAAGGUGAAUUUAAUUUUAAUAUAAUGAAAUAUUUUCCAGUUCCAUUAGAAUAUUGUAUAUCUUGAUAGCUUUUCUAAUGAUAUACAUUUGUUUAUUAAUUUCUUGGCCGUUAAAGCUUCGUAUGCAGUCAGGAUUUUGUGAUUGUGACAUUGUGUCCAUGGUUGUUAAGGGUGCAAGGCUCACCAAAGGGCCUAGGGGUCUUGAAGCCGAGGUGCAAGCGAAGGGGAGUGCCUGAGUGACACAUUGCGCAAAGAGAUUUCUGCAAAAAUUCAGUAUUAUUUAAUUUCAUAACAUAUUUAAGAAAUUAACAAUCUACCUUUAGAAAAAAAAAAUAGUUCUAUUGCAAAAAUUGAUAGAAUUUAACAACUUUCAUAGAAUAAAUUGUAAGUAAACAAAUUAAUCACCAAUUGAACAUACAACAAAUUAAACACCUUGAAAAAUUGAACAUGUACUCACGAAUAAAUUAAAAUUUGUUAAGAAUAGAGGGAGUUACUGAUUAACAUUUUACAUUUGUCAAGAGUAGAGAAUAGAGGAAGUUAUUAAUUAAAAUUUGUUACAAGUGAGCCACAUUAGUGCAUGGAUCCAGCAUAUCCAUGCGAGGAAAUUGCAUUCCCAUAGAGGAAGUUAAUUUAAAUAAAUUUGUCAAGAAUAUAGAAUAGAGGGAGUUACAAGUAUGUUAAUUUUACGGUUUAAGAGAAAAAAGAUUAGGUAUAAAAAAAAUACCAGAGCAGAAUGAAAAGAGAUGCAGCCGCAGCUAAGGGUAGGAGGGAAACAAAGAAGAUCCAAACAAGGCAGAAGGAGAAGGAUUUAAGGCGUGUGGACCCCAGAAAUUAGAAGAUCGGCCACAAGCGACCUAGGUACAGGUGUUCCUAAAGAUCCCUGCAGCGGAGAUGGACUUUCUGAUGCUUCGAUGUUAGAUUUUGAUAGAUCAGAACAUUCCAAGUCUAGUGAUGGUGGUCUUUGUGUAUCAGAAGGCAGAGGUGUAGGUUUACGAUGCAUGUUGCAUCUCAGCCAGUAGACGCAAACCCUUGGGCCAGGUGCGCUUUGCACCUUAGGCGCGCCUCAUUGGCAAUGCAGUUAAACAAUCUAACAACAUAUGAGAUGCACCUUUAUAGCUGGCCUAGUUAUCAUGCUAUUAUUAUAUGUUGCUACAAUCAUUGGCAUGUGACUUUCUCUAGUUGGUUGCUGAAGAUGAUAAGCCUUAGCACAAGCUAGUCAACCUCUUGAUUUGGCUCUAUCCUUUUUGAAUGCACAAAUUUGUUUGUUAAUGAUGACUACCAGUGGAUAAUGGAGAUGGUUUGUUCAAUCCAUGAGCUUCCAUCUCUUGCAUCUCUUUUUUUUUUCAACCAGUGAAUUAUUUCACCCUUCCGUUGGAAAUAAAAUGCUGUUCUUGUUAAUUUUAACUUCAUCAUUUUAAAUUGAAAUGACCUCUCUCCCUUUCUCAAUUCCAGCUUCUUAACAAGGAAAUUUUAAUUGCUUUUUAGGAGAUUCUCUCCAUUUAUUUUUUGUGGUUGUAGUGGAUGUGGAAGAGGGUAAAUUAGUUCUUCAUUUUGUUGAUUUGGCCAUAAUGAUGAUAAUUGACUUUGAUGGUAGUGAAAUUGCUAAUGGCUACAAGUUACAAUUUUUUUACAUCAUGCAUUCUCUGUUGGUAAUUAUUCCUAUAUUUCUUUUAGGAAAUGGAUCUCUUAAAAAAUCGUAAAAGAAGAUACUUGCUGAAAACUCAGUAGCUGUUUUACUGCUUUCUGUGUCACCUACAUUGUUUGAUAAGUUUAUUGCCCUCCUCUUUAAUUUUUUUUCACCUCUUUAUUGCAUGGCUGAGCUUAUUCUGGUAUUGUUGGUAUUUUGGUACAGUACAACUCGUCUACCAAUUUAUGAAAAGACAAGAAGUUGUACCUGACAUUAUGCCUAUGAUAAAACCACAACAAUAUCAUUGUACUGGAGGUAGUGCCCCUCUCUAGGCACUCUAUUCAUUGAUUCAAUACUUCAUUUUGCCGGGUAAAGAAAGGGAAAUAAUAGAAAAUAUGAUCAAAUGAAAUUUCAAUUUUUCCAGUUGUGAUGCUGGGUUUUAAGUUGAAGUUUGACUUGGGAAAAUAAAUUUCUGCCAUGAUUUGAUUUUGGACUUCUGAUCUUUCUCUGUUUCUCUCUCUUUCUCUCUUAACAAUCAUCACCACCUCCUCCAAGUUGUAAUUGAUCUUGCCUUCUGUGAUCCAAGGAGCAAGGUGAUAAAUGCUAAAGGCUGUCGUCUAAGCCAUUGUGGACUGAGACAAAGACUGUAAUCCUCAAUGGUUAGCUUACGAAGGCGUAAACUCUUGGGACUGUGUGCUGGGAGAAGUUCUUUCUUGACUCCACUUCCUCGAUUUUUUGAUCAUGGAACAGCUCCUUUAAGCUCUACUCAGAAUGCCAGGUUUGUCAGUGUACAUCCUCUGCCGUCAGAUGAUGUCAAGCAGCCAGGGGAGGUAAAGGUAGCAUGUUAUUUCAGUUAAAUUUUAGAUGUUCUGUCAUAUAAAUUUUCAUUUGCAUAUAUCUAAUACCAAUUUAUGUGGGCUUUAUAAUUUUAGGGGUAGUAUUUUUUUUUAUCUGCCAAAACGCUGGAGAGUGCUUGAAGUUAAUAGGAAUACUUACCCUGUGGAAAAAUAGGAUAUCGAUAGAUUUUGAACUCAAAAUAAAUCUCGUCACUUAUUGAUGUCAUUACUAUUUUGGAGAGUCAUUAAUUCAUUAGAACCUUAUGGGAAAGCAUUAGAUAGGAUUGCUUUUGUUAACUUUAUUGCAUGUGCACAUGUGUAAUUAUGGGAUUCAUGAGUUGCCUUAGCCAAUACAAAGAAGAAAGGAAUGCACUUGUGCAAUUCCAUCUGGUGAGAGAGUGAAUUCAGGAUAUAUCGAGUCCAUUAAUGUUUAAUCAUUGGUGUCAUGGCUGGAUGCAUUGGAAUUAUAGGUUCUUGAUACAUUUUACUCAUAAAUUGUGUGUAAAAAUUGUCAAGCCCAAAGAUUUGGCACACUUGUCCCUCUGAGUUCUCAAGGUUUGACAAGGAUGGAAAAUUAUGUCUGUUUGAGACUUGCUUUUUUAUUUGAGUUGCUUUUUUACUUGAGCAAAGAAUUUUGAGAUUCCAGAUUCGUCGGCAACCAUUUCAUUUAUCCAGGGGGUUGCUUUAACUUUCACGUAAUGAUCUAUGAUAUGAAACCUGUAUUGCCCUUAUUAAAUGCAUUACAUAAUUUAGACGAAUAAGAUUAUUUGCUUUAUUGAUAGAGAAGAUAGAAAGUUUUGUAUUUUGUUUCACAUAUAUAUUUUUUUUAAUUCUAUUUAUAUUUGCAUUAUAUUUUUUAAUGUUGUUUGCCAGAAAAGCAUUUUCAAAGUAGGAGCUGGUUUGUCAAAUGUGUCAGCUUCUAGCUCAUCAAAAGAGCAGCAAUCUCAACCUUAUCCAGGGCAACCAGUUAAACGCAGAAAGCGACACAGGAGAAAGCAUGUUCAAAACCAGGAACCAUGCCUGAUGAGAGGUGUGUACUUCAAAAAUAUGAAAUGGCAGGCAGCAAUUAAAGUUGACAAGAAGCAAAUCCACUUGGGGACUGUUGGUUCACAAGAAGAGGCUGCCCAUUUGUAUGACAGGGCUGCCUUCAUGUGUGGGAGGGAACCCAACUUUGAGCUUCCUCAGGAGGAGAAGCAAGAACUUGGAAAAUUCAAAUGGGAUGAAUUUUUGGCAAUUACUCGCAGUGCAAUUAAUAGUAAAAAACACAAGAGACGGAAUGGAUCUGGGUUGCAGAAGAGAUCUGAACCUGCCUUGCAGAAUGGCGACUGGGAUGACAAGCAAGGAGUGAACAGCUUUUCAGCCUCAGAAGAUACAGAGCCAGACUCAUCCACCUGAGUAUUUUCGGUUUCAGAAUGAGGCUGAAUAAUCCAGUUCUAACUGUGGAGCUUUAGCUUGUCCUCCAUUUUUGGUGUGCAAAGCCCCCUAUUAAGGCGGAUGAUGGUAGACCUUAUCCUUUAGUAAGCAGAUCUUUGCAGUUCUUAACUCAAUAAAGAGACAGAAAGCGCAAUAUUAAAUGUGCUGUCACUGUCUGUUAUCACCAUCAUCUGCAGACCUGUUAAAUACAUAGCUAUACUUAGUUACUUGCCCUUUUUUUUUCUUGGCCCCCAUUAUGGAAGUUGGAAACAGCAGAAUGCUCGAGAAACUUGGUAUCAAGAAGCAAAAUUUCUUUGCUCAAUAGUUCAAAUGAGUUUAUCAUAAUCGAUCAUUUUGUACUGUGUAUUCAUUAAUAUAUAUCUUCUAGGCAGCCAUGGCUAAAUGUUGCAUUCUUCAGGUUGAGUUCAGUUCAAGUGUAGGUUAUAUGUUACAUUUUCUGAACUUUUUUCCGCUUUCCUUUUGGGACAAUGAAAUUCAUAAUUUCUGCCUGAAAUUCCCUUGAAUCCUCACUAGUUGUAAUUUGAUUCAGCUGCUCAACUAGUCAAUUUUUAUUGAUAAUUAGAACUUCGGAA